GACCUCAAAUCAGGUAGGACUACCCGCUGAACUUAAGCAUAUCAAUAAGCGGAGGAAAAGAAACUAACAAGGAUUCCCCUAGUAACUGCGAGUGAAGCGGGAAAAGCUCAAAUUUAAAAUCUGGCGGUCUUUGGCCGUCCGAGUUGUAAUCUAGAGAAGUGUUAUCCGCGCUGGACCGUGUACAAGUCUCCUGGAAUGGAGCGUCAUAGAGGGUGAGAAUCCCGUCUUUGACACGGACUGCCAGGGCUUUGUGAUGCGCUCUCAAAGAGUCGAGUUGUUUGGGAAUGCAGCUCAAAAUGGGUGGUAAAUUCCAUCUAAAGCUAAAUAUUGGCGAGAGACCGAUAGCGAACAAGUACCGUGAGGGAAAGAUGAAAAGAACUUUGGAAAGAGAGUUAAACAGUACGUGAAAUUGCUGAAAGGGAAACGCUUGAAGUCAGUUGCGUUGGCCGGGAAUCAACCUUGCUUUUGCUGGGCGUACUUUCCGGUUGACGGGUCAACAUCAAUUUUGACCGUUGGAUAAAGCUGAGGGAAUGUGGCUUCUUCGGGAGUGUUAUAGCCCUUGGUCGCAUACAACGGUUGGGAUUGAGGAACUCAGCACGCCGCAAGGCCGGGUACUUGUACCACGUUCGUGCUUAGGAUGUUGGCAUAAUGGCUUUAAUCGACCCGUCUUGAAACACGGACCAAGGAGUCUAACAUGCCUGCGAGUGUUUGGGUGGAAAACCCGAGCGCGUAAUGAAAGUGAAAGUUGAGAUCCCUGUCGUGGGGAGCAUCGACGCCCGGACCAGAACUUUUGGGACGGAUCCGCGGUAGAGCAUGUAUGUUGGGACCCGAAAGAUGGUGAACUAUGCCUGAAUAGGGUGAAGCCAGAGGAAACUCUGGUGGAGGCUCGUAGCGAUUCUGACGUGCAAAUCGAUCGUCAAAUUUGGGUAUAGGGGCGAAAGACUAAUCGAACCAUCUAGUAGCUGGUUCCU
rnacentral:rRNA from 1 species